GCUACUUAUUGUACAUUCGAUUUUUGAACUUGCUAGUGUAUCAAUCUCUUUCUUUUGUCCGACAAGUUUAUUAAGUUUGUCACGAUGAUUGUAACACCCUAAAGGAAAGGUCGGGGACAUUAUAAUGUUUAUAUGCAAGUGAUCAGCGUCUGGAACGGCAGACAGACUGAAAAUUUUUUUAUUUAACGAAAUAUCUUCACCAAAAUUUGGCACGGAUUAUUGUUUAAGGCAAUGGUGUAAUCUCCGAAGAAAUUGUUCAUCUACAUCAAAUUUGGCACGGAUUAUUGUUCAAGCCAAUGGUGCAAUCUCCGUAGAAAUUGUUCAUAUACGAUCACUAAAGCAUAUAGCUUCAAUACAAACCGAUCGAUCGGAAUCAAGUGCUUAUAUGAAAAACUUUUUCAUGUUACGAAAUAUCCUUACCAAAUGUGGCACGAAUUAUUGUUCGAGGCAAUGGUGCAAUCUUCGAAGAAAUUGUUCAGAUCGGAUCACUAAAGCUGUCAUACAAACUAAACCAUCGGAAUCUAGUGUUUGUAAUGCCAAAGACAGACAUAUUUUAGUAUGCUACAGAAACCAAUUGUAUAAAUGGUAAACCAAUUUUUGUUCCAAAGCAAAUGGAGUUCUGUACUACAAUAGUGUUCAAAAAACCAAUGAAAUUAUAUGGUGUUCUAUAUUGUACCAUUAUGUAUUCCACUGAACACACCCAAAGCUUAAAGCUUAAAAACUAAAAUAACCGGAAAUAUUAUAAAAAAAUAAAAAAAAUCGAAAAAAUGUUGUUGCAAGGCAAUAUUGCUUGGUCUUUUUUAAUGCCCAUAGAGAUAGUGUAAAAUUAUUUGUUUUCCUCCUCAGGUAAUAAAAUAUUAUAAGAUUCUUUGCUGUCAUAAGCAAUUUGGUUCAUGCCAGGUUUGUGUUUAUUUUUGUUUUUAGUUGAAUUAAAUUUUUUUGCAUCAGCUGAUAAGUCAAACAUAUACCAUCAUACCCAUAUUGUUUCCUGAGCUUUUAUUGAACAUUGUUGUACAGAAACCAUAUGUCUGUCUUUAACAUUUGGAAUCUUGUAUUUGUGUAGUGUAUCUAAGCUUCGGUGCAACCGAAGUUAAUGUUUAUAUUGUUUGUUAUUUUAUAUAAUGAGAUAUUGAGGAUUAAAAGUUUCAACAUCAAUUUCAACGUGUAAGAACAAAGUAUACUCUUUUGUAAUGCCUUCGAAAUAUUUUUGAGAUUGCGUCUCACCGCGCGAAAAUGUCAAAUGGAAAAUAGGUUAAGGAAAUGGCCUCAAACUUUACACUUUGCGGUAAAGUCAAAUAUGUUAGGCACCGAUUUAUUAGGAGUGAUAGAAUAAUCGUGAAAAGCGAAAACAAAUUCCUGAGUCAGCAAAUCGAAUACUGGUAAACAGCUCUACGACUGCAGUGCGUGGCAUGAGUCUGCACAUUCCUAUUCCCACAUUCAAUGCCAUACCAUAUGUGUUGGCCCACGGUAGCAACGAGAACGGCAACAGCGCAUGUACGUAACGACCGCAGCAGCAGUAAGGCUUUUAAUAUCAAUGUGCAACAAUGAAAUAUCAGAAAACCAUGUACAUGUUUAGUAACACAUAUUUGGUAUUUUAUGAUUUUAACACUCAUCUGCUUCAUCAUAACGAGCUUUUAAUAACCAGAUUAUUUUGCUAAUCGUUCUAUUUUGGAGCUAUUGCCGGUUCCACGGUCAUUGCACGUUCCCAAGGUUCCACACACUCUACAAACCACCUCUUCUCAUCCUCUGGUCGAACCGGUCUAAGAUUUAAGAAUCUUGGGGACCAAUUAUUAAAGGUAUGUGUAGCGAUACCAGAGUAAAACCUAAACUCCACACUAGGCUGUAUAGACAUUUUGGAAUUUCAGCCCCUUUUUAGCAAUUUAAUUUACAUAACCCGAACAAACUGCUAUAAAGCUAUGAUCUGGAACAUAUUCUGAAUUUGGUAGUCUUUAUUUUUAUUUUGACUUCUAAUUUUUUUGAAUUAAAAUUUGUUUGCUUGAUGUCAAAAUUAUAGAAAGCGUAUUGUUGUGACAGAAAAUCUAAAGGCUUUGAUUAAUGAACGCACUCACCAUCAUUGUACCUUGAACAACACAAUACAUUUUCUAUGAUUUCUUGCUCGAUACUUAAGUUCCGACUGCGUUGGCUUGGAACAAAAAUUCAAAGAGGACUUGUAUCAUACUCCAAUAUGUCUAUCUAGAACAAUUAGAUUAUAUUAGAAAAAAUCGACUUAAUAUGUUGAAAAUAGUGGAAUUUCCAAACAGUAUUUAGCAAAAGUUUUAAGUGCUCUUCAAAGAUUUACCCAUUAAAAUAAAAACAAUUAUUUCAUAAUUGUUUACAUAUUUACUUUGUAGUUUCGAAUCUUAACUAUUAUAAUAUUUUUAUUUUUUCAUACAAAUUUACUCAUAAACUAUACAAUCGUGUUUCGUAUAUUUAUAAAGAACUAUAUAUGGCUAUAUAAAUAUUAUUAUUUAAAUUUUUAUAUGUGAAAAAGCUGUUUAUUACAUUAAAAGAGCCAACACAUUAAGAAUUAGUGUUAAACGGAUUCACCCUGACUUUAGUACCAAAAUGAAACAUUUAAAUGCACGUCUAAUUAACACUAAUUGCCGCUGAUUGUAGUCGUAUAUAUAUGGCUCAAGUAUAAAUUAAAAUAUGUUGUAUAGUUCAUAUGAGCCAUAAUGCGAUGUUUUCUUAAAGGAAGUCUUGGAGAUAAGGACAACAUACUGGCCCAUUGUCCUUCGCAAAGGUCAUCGUAUCGAAGAAAACCUACUUCGUGUCCACCAAGACUGCCAUGUCCGCGGCAUACCGCCACUUGACCAUCCCACAAUUUUCCAGAGAACUCCCGUAUCCAUCGCGCUAAAUACAAAACCUUGCAAUCACAAUGCCAGGGAUUCUUAUCCAGUUUGACUGCGACUAACUUUUUUAAACUACUGAACGCCCCGUUUUGUAAAUAUUGCAAUUUAUUCGAGUCAAUUCGUCUGCAAAAAAAAAAAAUUAUCUUUUAAAAUUGUGAAAGUAAGGACUGAAUGCGAAAAAAUCCAAGAAUACAUUGUGCGGUACUUUUAUAUUUUCGAAAGAUAUUGCAUAAAGUAUAAUAUUGUAUAAUAGUGGUUGUUUGAAACACAUCAAGAUGACGAUAACUUAUCUGAAAAUAAAGAUAUCUUGGUAAAAUAUAAUAAGUUUUCUUUGACGGAAAUUAGGAGAAAUAUGAGGACCUCAGUACUCUUAAUGGAAUUCAAAGGGUAUCUCUUCCUAAAAAAAUGAAACGAAAUAAAUCGAAACUCAAACUUCCUAUAUGCUUUAUACCAUAUAAAUCGGUCCAUAGAUAUCUUAGAAAGAUUAUCUGAACUUUAAAUCUUAGAUAUUAAAUAGCUUGGGGUCAAAAUUAGGUUCAUGAAUUACCCCCACUUUUGGUUGGCAAAAUCCUCCGCUGAACCCUCCACGGGGGUGCCGACUGGGAAUAGAUACCACAGGUUCACGACGUGGGCAAGGGCGAGCUGGCAGCAGUUCGCCCCUGUUGUAGUAGUGAGGUAUCUAGCUAAAGUCAGGCUUAAUAUCUGGGUGUUCGGUACUCUUCAAUAGUGCAGCAUCCAGAUAGGAGGUCUUACCAUGGUAGGAGGUAUAUAAAGGGCUGGAUCAAGGUAUCAUGCGACCCGUGCCGAAGAUCAACCUGGCUGGGGGCCCUUAAAUAAUCCAGUCUCGCACGGAGCGUCCUCCGUAAUAAGAUAGCCUUACUUGCGUAGCGGGGGCUAUGCGCAAGCGGACAUACUUUCCCUUACCCUCGUGGGUCAAAAAUUUUGAGCCAAAACUUUAUAAACAAAAACAAAAAGGAGUUCGGACCUCCUUCAAAAAGACCGGAGUGAGCGAGUUGUUCCCAAAGGAGCGCAGCGUUUGGCACGAGCUCGACAACAGCCAAAGCGAGGACAGGAGCGAAGCUUGGUCCUGGAGCAAAGCCAAAUACUAAAGGGGUAGAAGCCAAGACUGGCGCCAAGAAAGCAGCAGCGCUGGAGGCAGCCCAUACCAACCCCUGUAGCCAAGGCUUGGCAGCUAAGCAGGAGAAGGAAGGAGACGCCAAAAGCGAUGCUGCCAGUAGUGGGUCAGCCAGAGAAUUUGACCCAGCAAAAGCGAAGUAUGCAGAGAGGCGACGCGCUGCAUACCUGCUGAAGAAGAUGGAGCUGCAACCGGCAACCAAUGAGGAGCUCACAAAGGAGCUCCAGGAAUCCAUUGAUUACGCGAGAGCUAUUCUACCUAACUUCAAGCUAGAAGCGCCGGUAGUGGCGGCUAAAAGACAAAGGUCAGCUGAAGAGGCUAAGAGGGCUUAGCUAAGAGAGCGAAAACUAAGGGCGUGACGCCCGCAAGAACUUUUGCUGAUGUGGCCCGAAACCGCAUUGUCAUUGGUAGGAUGAGGGUGACCCCGAAGGAAAAAUCCCCAGAGACCAAUGGAAAUGGGUGCAAGCCGCACUGACAAAUGUGGCUUUGGAAGUGCUACUAAGCAAUCUAGGUCCAUCCCCGUCAUGUGCGGAUGCCGGAUGGUAUCAAGGGCAGAUAAAGAUGAUAGCGUGUGAUGACGAGAGAUCUGUCCAGCUAUAUAAGGCAGCAAUAGCUAAGGUGGGGGAGGUCUACCCCGGAGCCAAGUUAGUAGCGGUAGAUAGAAAAGACAUCCCAUCUCGACCGAGGGCAAGGGUAUGGAUCCCGGCUACACCAUCGCAGCCGGACCAAUUAAUGCAGCUCAUAAGAGCCUGCAACCCGAAUCUGCCAACUGGGAGAUGGAGAUUCGUCAAAGCCUUUGACGACCCCGCAGCGGAAUCUCGUGUGGAGACGAAACGAGCCACAAUGCAGAUUUUGUUGCUUCUAACAAAAUAAUCUGUAAAACCGCUAGCGAAAAGUGGCGGAGAGAUCAACUACGGAUUCACAAAAAAGAAGGUCAUGACCUACAAGUCAGACGCCGAUGCAGGAGAAAACUUGGCAUCGGAAUCGGAGUGCGAAGUCGAGGAAGAUCCAGCGGAGUUCUCGAACGACGCAUAGAACACAGAUCAAGGUGAGUGUAUUUCGGGGUCUGAGCUUGCGAACAGACUCCCUAAACUUUACACUGAGAGUGAUCUUUUAAGCGACUUUCAUGCUGAUGCAGAGAAGACAAUAACUAAUGCAUCUUCUCCAAAUGAAUCUACACCACAGCAAACUAGCGUCUCUAGCCCUAGUUAACCGCAUGGCAGAAGAACGGCCUGACUUCGUCCUCAUUCAGGAGCCAUGGGUUAAUGGAGGGCGUAUUUGCGGCCUGAGGACACCGGGAUAUAAUUUAUACGCGAAUGGUUGUGUAGUUACAGUAGUAACGACACUACAGUAGUAAGCUGGGAGACGGCUGAGAAGAAAUACCGGCUGGCAUCAUGCUACAUGCCGUACGACGAGGUAGCAGUACCAUCACAGCUGUAAGAGCUGGUACGUGACACCGAAGCAUCCAAGUGUUCGAUUAUACUUGGGUGCGACUCCAAUGCGCACCACACUCUUAUGGGGAGGUACGGAUAUUAAUGA